UAUCUCUGUAGAGUCUGCAUAUCAAUAAGCGGAGGAAAAGAAACUAACAAGGAUUCCCUUAGUAACGGCGAGUGAAGCGGGAAGAGCUCAAAUUUGAAAUCUUCAAGGUUCUACCUUGACGAAUUGUAGUUUAAAGAAGUGUUUUCUGUUGGAGUUUCGGUAAAAGUUCUUUGGAAUAGGACAUCAUAGAGGGUGAGAAUCCCGUAUUUGACCAGUUAUUUCCAGCUGUGUGAUACACUUUCAAAGAGUCGGAUUGUUUGGGAAUGCAGUCCAAAACUGGGUGGUAAAUUUCAUCUAAAGCUAAAUAUUGGCGAGAGACCGAUAGCGAACAAGUACCGUGAGGGAAAGAUGAAAAGAACUUUGAAAAGAGAGUUAAACAGUACGUGAAAUUGUCAAAAGGGAAGCGUUUGACACCAGUGUUGUUUUCUCGAAAAUCAAUUAAAAUAGGAUUUUGAUUCUGUUAGUAUUGACUUUAUCAGCUUGCUGCACUCUUUCUUCGUCUAAUUAUUGAAUGCACUUUUCAGUUUAACAAGUCAACAUCAAUUUCUUUUGUUGUAAAAGGGUCAUAGGAAGGUGGCUUUCGCUUUCGGCUCAAGUGUUUAUAGCCUUUUACCUCUGCAAUCGGAGAGAUUGAGGUCUGCAGCGUAGAUCCUUCGGGGUUAGAUACAUUUGUGCUAAGUUAUAGUAUUUUAUAGACAACUUGUUGACUAUAGCUCAGUCAUGUAGCUUACUCCGUAGAUGCUAUUUUACCUACGCUUAGGAUGUUGAACGCGCACAGAGUCUC
rnacentral:rRNA from 1 species